UAAUACAUGAGAAACUAGGUUUUAUAUGAAGAUGAUUUUGUUUUGUUCCCCAAUAUUUUGUUUUCAUGAUAACAAAAAACAAAAAACAAAACAAAAAAAAAACAAUGACUGAAGGAGUUUUCACAUUAUUAAGUGAACUGCAUAAGGAAGAUCUGGAGUAAAAAAUAUUUUUAAUAUCUAGAAGUUUCACAGGAGAAUGUGCUUAAAUAAAUCAACAGAACACCUUGUAUUACUUGAGGAGUUCAAAUGUUGGAAGUUCUCAAGUGCCUGAUUUUGUGGUCCCAAACUUCUCUCUCACUUGCAGAUGCUCUGUGCAUUCAGUAGCAGGGGUAUUGUUAAAUUUGAGAAGACAAGCCAAUAACCCUUAACUUCCAUAACAUUCAUAUUAAGUGCAGAAGAAUUAAAUGUUGUGUUGCAAAUAUGCACAUCUGGCUUUUCUGUUGUAAUCUUAUAUUAUUCUAGUAGUUGACUUUAGGAAAAAAAUGUUAAUUGCUAUGCAACUAAACUCCAAGAAAUAUGCUUUAUCAAGUGUUUUAAUAAGAUAUAUACUGUUUAUUUUUGCUUGAUUUCUUUUAAGAAUUUACAGAACACAAUGCCUAAACACUAUCCUUGCCCUUGGUCUUCCUUUUGUAUAUCAACUCUAUCUAAACCAGGGAUCUAUUGUCAAUGUAUUGGCCAUUAAGGGAUAACAAGUCAUCGCUGAGCACUCAGAAAUGAAUGGUAAUUCCAGGUGCACCAUUCUGUUGUCCUACACCUUUGGAGUGGUUUUGCUUAGAAAGGAUGAAACAAUUCAGCUGUCAUUUUAAUAUAAAAGACUUUUUAGGACACAGGGUGUUUUGAGGUGAUGCCUUGACUUGCAUUAUAAAAAUACUGACAGCUAUCAAAAUGUCAACUUGCAUCUCCUUUGUUGCAGACUUGAUACCAAAGUGUUGGAUAUUUACUUACCAAGAAUGAAAUGGGCUAUAUAUUCUCAGUGCCCCCAAAAAGAAUAUGUGAAUAAAAAUGAAAAAGUGCAAGAGUGAAAUUAUAGGAUUUGUCUGUGCUCUGCUGUCUUAACGGGAGGCAGGAGCAUGGUCCUUAUCUGCUCUCUCAUAUCAAGGGGAUAAAAGAAUCUUGGCUUAUAACUUAAAUUUUAGUGGUUUUAUAUCAGUCGUUGUACUUUUUAGAGUUUCACUUUCUUUAUUAGAACUGAGGUGGACCUCAGGGAUCUGCCAAAGUUCUUUUGGUGUUGUUGUUACUUUGUUUUUGAAAAUCAUAGAAUAAUUCUCUAAUGACAUAUAGCAAUCUUUUGGCAUGGCUUGACCUGUCCAGAUUUUUCCGGCACCCAUCCUAGAAUUUUCAGGUUUUUUUCACAUCUCCUCUUAAUGACACUUUUCUUAGAGAAAGUUUUCCCACAGCCCGCCAAGCUCAGUAAAGUUUCAUUAUUACAUGCUGUCAUAGAAUAGCAUUCUUUACCUGCAUUGCACGUUUAUCAACUUUUCAUUAUGCAUUUAUUUUAGGGUUACUUAAUCAGUACCAGCUUCUCUUAUUUGACUCUAGACGUCACAACAUCUGGAAACUUAUCUUUCUGCUCAUUUUUGUAAUAGUGCCCUGUAUUAUUAGACUAAAUUUAGUUUCUCAGUAAUGUUUAUUAAAUGACAAGAUGAAUAAAUAAUGUUUCUUUUUUUAACUUCUCUGAGCC
ensembl:lncRNA